rnacentral:rRNA from 1 species
AACAUGCAAGUCGAACGGCAGCACGGACUUCGGUCUGGUGGCGAGUGGCGAACGGGUGAGUAAUACAUCGGAACGUGUCCUGGAGUGGGGGAUAGCCCGGCGAAAGCCGGAUUAAUACCGCAUACGCUCUGAGGAGGAAAGGGGGGGAUCGAAAGACCUCUCGCUCAAGGGGCGGCCGAUGGCAGAUUAGCUAGUUGGUGGGGUAAAGGCCUACCAAGGCGACGAUCUGUAGCUGGUCUGAGAGGACGACCAGCCACGCUGGGACUGAGACACGGCCCAGACUCCUACGGGAGGCAGCAGUGGGGAAUUUUGGACAAUGGGCGCAAGCCUGAUCCAACAAUGCCGCGUGUGUG